CAUUAUUAUAUAGAUAAUACAUAUGAAUAAUCUUGCAGUUGCUAAGCAGCCAAACCAGACAUGUGUGAAAGAACUGGGAGGGUCCAUGCUGCUUGAUUGUUGAUGGACAUCUCUACUCUGAAGCAAGUUCUAGCUCUUCUUUGCAAAUGAGGCACCAGCUAUUUGACCUCAUAAGAACAGUAUUAGCUAGUACAGUGUUCAGCAUGGAAUAGGCGGUCAGUGGUUGGUAGAAGAUAGAAAUCUUGCAUGCCAAUAUUGUUUCUAGACCACAAAUUCCACUGCCAAGUUAUCGUUCCUUGUUCCUUUCCUCCUUUAGUCAACAGGUUCAUUGGCUGGGGUACCCUAACAGAAGACAUUAACAAGGAAACAGAUUACCAAGAAAAGCAUGUAUAUGCACUACCAUAG
rnacentral:lncRNA from 13 species